rnacentral:tRNA from 1 species
UGAUAAAAGGGGAAUUAAACCCCAUCAAUGGGACUACAGCCCACCGCCUAAACAUUCGGCCAUUUUACC